UUUUUGAAUAUUUAAUAAAAAGUGUUUUYUGCUCAAUGAUUUUAAAUAGCCGCGGUAAUUUGACCGUGCAAAGGUAGCAUAAUCAUUUGCCCUAUAAUUGAGGGCUGGAAUGAAUGGAAUUACAAGAUCUUUUCUUUAUUUUUAAAAAAAAAAUAACUUUCUUUUUUAGUGAAGAAGCUAAGUUUUAAAUGAGGGACAAGAAGACCCUUUUGAGCUUUAUUGUUAGUUUUUUUGUAAAAUUAUAAUAAUUUGGUUGGGGCGACCGAGGAAGUGAGAAUCUUCCUUUUAUAAUUUUGAUCUGUUGUUUUCGAAUAAAAGAAUAAGCUACCUAAGGGAUAACAGCGUAAUUUUUUUUGUGAGUUCUUAUUAAAAAAAAAGAUUGCGACCUCGAUGUUGACUUAUUAUUUCCUUUUGGUGUAGCAGCUAAUAUGGUAGGUCUGUUCGACCUUUAAAAUUUUACGUGAGUUGAGUUCAGACCGGCGUGA
rnacentral:rRNA from 1 species